GGACGAUUAGCUCAGCGGGAGAGCGCUUCCCUGACACGGAAGAGGUCACAGGUUCAAUCCCUGUAUCGUCCACC
rnacentral:tRNA from 2 species